GGUAAAAUGGCCGAGUGUACAGGCGGUGGGUUGUAGCCCCAUUUAUAAAGGUUAAAAUCCUUUUUUUAUCA
rnacentral:tRNA from 1 species